GCGCCGGCACCUCCCCUUGGCGUCCCCUGAGCCAGCCCGCGAGCGGCCGCGCUCCCGACUCUCCUUCCUUCCGCGCAGCCUCCUGUUCCCCCGGGCUGGAGCUCGCUGUCGGCGGGUUGUCGGCUCCGAGGGCUUUGAGAGUGGCAGGUGUGCCCUGCUGCAUAAGUGGCUUCCGAACCCGGGAAAAGAGACUGAGGCGAAGGAACUGAGACGUUUCGCACUCCAGGCGCACUGCACACUCGCCGGGGGGCACGCCAUGCAAAUCUCCUUCCGGGCCAAUGCACAUGGUUGCUGCCACAGGUUUACCAGAUGCUAUCAAGGUUUCAACUGCCCACACAGCUUCUUCAACAUGUUCAAAAUACUGGAAUCAGUUAAGCUAAGGUAUGAAGGUGUCUGACUCACUCCUCCUGCUACCAAAGCAUCUCCUUCAUCAGCCACUUGUCGGGCAAUGUCGCAAGCAGCUUCAUUGACUUUCUGCCCCUAAAAUGGCUUGUCUUCACUCGCAUAGAAGGUGAAGGUCUGCAUGACGUUUGAGCCAGCUCUGAGGAACUCUCGAUGAAGCUGGCGAACUGGGAGAGCGAAAGAGGAAAGGUCGAUGAACUUAAGUACUACUGUUAUCUCCAUUUUGCAGAGAGAAAACCAAUGCCCAAUGCAGGUAGGUGUCUUACACAAAGCCACAACCAAUAGGUGGCAAUGCUGGAUAUUAAACCCAUUUUUUCUCAUUUCUACACCAGUGUUGUGUUUUUUGGGCCUCCAUGUCUCCAGAAGAGAAAAAUGUGAAAUGAGAAGGUAAAAAGAGCAUCUAUGAAGUGCUUUCUCUCUAAAAAAUAACACAGGAAGACAGCCGUGCCCUUCCAAUGGUUUAUUUUACCCCUAGUCCUGACCCCUCCUAUACCUAAAUGGGGAGAGAAAGCUAAUUCAUUUAGUAUAUAUUAACUUCUUUUUUUUCUGAGAUGGAGUCUCGCUCUGUCA